rnacentral:lncRNA from 1 species
GGGAGAAUCAUAUGGCGCACUGCUCAUCCCAAUCAUCUUGAAUAAGCUACCGUCAGCUGUCAGACAAAACUUAGCUAGGGAAAACGGAACCGAUAAUUGGGAAUUAAAAGGAUUAAGGCACGGGAUAUUGAAAGAAAUAACAAUUUUGGAAGCAGGAAAACGCACCGAUGAAGUUAAUGAAAAUUUACCGUCUACAGCGUCAUUUUUGACAAGCGCCAAUAAAAGAGAUUACACGCGAACACAAGAAAGAUUUGAAAACCGUC